rnacentral:rRNA from 1 species
UACAGAGGGUGCGAGCGUUGUUCGGAAUUAUUGGGCGUAAAGGGCGCGUAGGCGGUGCCACAAGUCACUUGUGAAAUCUCCGGGCUUAACUCGGAGCCUGCAGGCGAAACUGUGGUGCUGGAGUGUGGGAGAGGUGCGUAGAAUUCCCGGUGUAGCGGUGAAAUGCGUAGAUAUUGGGAGGAACACCAGUGGCGAAGGCGGCUACCUGGACCGGUACUGACGCUGAUGCGCGAAAGCGUGGGGAGCAAACAGG